rnacentral:rRNA from 1 species
CUUUGAUCCUGGCUCAGGAUGAACGCUGGCGGUAUGCUUAACACAUGCAAGUCGAACGAACCCUUCGGGGUUAGUGGCGGACGGGUGAGUAACGCGUGAGGAUCUGCCCUUAGGAGGGGAACAACAGUUGGAAACGACUGCUAAUGCCCCAUAUGCCGAGAGGUGAAACAGUUAAUUCUGCCUAGGGAUGAACUCGCGUCUGAUUAGCUAGUUGGUUGGGUAAUGGCCGACCAAGGCGACGAUCAGUAGCUGGUCUAAGAGGAUGAUCAGCCACACUGGGACCGAGACACGGCCCAGACUCCUACGGGAGGCAGCAGUGGGGAAUUUUCCGCAAUGGGCGAAAGCCUGACGGAGCAAUACCGCGUGAGGGAGGAAGGCCUUAGGGUUGUAUACCUCUUUUCUCUGGGAAGAAGAUCUGACGGUACCAGAGGAAUAAGCCUCGGCUAACUCCGUGCCAGCAGCCGCGGUAAGACGGAGGAGGCAAGCGUUAUCCGGAAUUAUUGGGCGUAAAGCGUCCGUAGGCGGUUAAUUAAGUCUGUUGUUAAAGCCCACAGCUCAACUGUGGAUCGGCAAUGGAAACUGGUUGACUAGAGUGUGGUAGGGGUAGAGGGAAUUCCCGGUGUAGCGGUGAAAUGCGUAGAUAUCGGGAAGAACACCAGUGGCGAAGGCGCUCUACUGGGCCACAACUGACGCUGAUGGACGAAAGCUAGGGGAGCGAAAGGGAUUAGAUACCCCUGUAGUCCUAGCUGUAACGAUGGAUACUAGGUGUUGGACGUAUCGACCCGUGCAGUACCGUAGCUAACGCGUUAAGUAUCCCGCCUGGGGAGUACGCACGCAAGUGUGAAACUCAAAGGAAUUGACGGGGGCCCGCACAAGCGGUGGAGGAUGUGGUUUAAUUCGAUGCAACGCGAAGAACCUUACCAAGGCUUGACAUCCUGCGAAUCUUUCAGAGAUGAGAGAGUGCCUUCGGGAGCGCAGAGACAGGUGGUGCAUGGCUGUCGUCAGCUCGUGUCGUGAGAUGUUGGGUUAAGUCCCGCAACGAGCGCAACCCUCGUCCUUAGUUGCCAUCAUUAAGUUGGGCACUCUGGGGAGACUGCCGGGGACAACUCGGAGGAAGGUGGGGACGACGUCAAGUCAUCAUGCCCCUUACGUCUUGGGCUACACACGUCCUACAAUGCUACAGACAGAGGGCAGCAAGCUCGCGAGAGCAAGCAAAUCCCAUAAACUGUGGCUCAGUUCAGAUUGCAGGCUGCAACUCGCCUGCAUGAAGGCGGAAUCGCUAGUAAUCGCAGGUCAGCAUACUGCGGUGAAUACGUUCCCGGGCCUUGUACACACCGCCCGUCACACCAUGGGAGUUGGCCACGCCCGAAGUCGUUACUCUAACCGUUCGCGGAGGAGGGCGCCGAAGGCAGGGCUGAUGACUGGGGUGAAGUCGUAACAAGGUA